UACGAAGGGGGCUAGCGUUGCUCGGAAUCACUGGGCGUAAAGCGCACGUAGGCGGAUCUUUAAGUCAGGGGUGAAAUCCUGGAGCUCAACUCCAGAACUGCCUUCGAUACUGAGAGUCUUGAGUUCGGGAGAGGUGAGUGGAACUGCGAGUGUAGAGGUGAAAUUCGUAGAUAUUCGGAGGAACACCAGUGGCGAAGGCGGCUCACUGGUCCAUUACUGACGCUGAGGUGCGAAAGCGUGGGGAGCAAACAGG
rnacentral:rRNA from 1 species